rnacentral:rRNA from 1 species
UGAGGAAUAUUGGUCAAUGGGCGAGAGCCUGAACCAGCCAAGUAGCGUGCAGGAUGACGGCCCUAUGGGUUGUAAACUGCUUUUAUGUGGGGAUAAAGUGCGUGACGUGUCAUGCAUUGCAGGUACCACAUGAAUAAGGACCGGCUAAUUCCGUGCCAGCAGCCGCGGUAAUACGGAAGGUCCGGGCGUUAUCCGGAUUUAUUGGGUUUAAAGGGAGCGUAGGCUGUCUAUUAAGCGUGUUGUGAAAUAUACCGGCUCAACCGGUGGCUUGCAGCGCGAACUGGUCGACUUGAGUAUGCAGGAAGUAGGCGGAAUUCAUGGUGUAGCGGUGAAAUGCUUAGAUAUCAUGACGAACUCCGAUUGCGAAGGCAGCUUACGGGAGUGUUACUGACGCUUAAGCUCGAAGGUGCGGGUAUCGAACAGG